rnacentral:lncRNA from 1 species
GCUGGACAACUAUCACAUACAUAAUAAGCACACCAGCUAAAGAUACGCGGGUAUAUGCAUUCUAAGCAUGCUUGCGUGCCAACUCCAGUAUAGAAUGGCAGAGUUCUGUAGGCGUAGAAAAAACUGGCAUAUGAUCUGCAGGAAUCUCCAUCACUUCCUUUACCCCAUUUUGCUCAAUCAUCCAGCGCUGAAAUGAGGCAGGCAUCAUUAAAUCCUCAGUACAAACAAUAUAAACUCGCGGCACUGAUCCAUAUCUCUCAUCAGUGAACUUCUUUGCCUUGGACAGGCUUUCCACAAACAUCGAUCCUGGUCUAUUUAAGAGCAUCUGCAGAGCUAGAUCCUGCAAACAAGAACAGUAUCAUAACUCGUUAUUACAAUGAAAACUAUUCCAGGAUUCAUAAUUUUUAAGAAAGAUUUGUGUACCUCAGCGGAGGAAAGAUGAAAGGGCUUGCACUUCAUAAACUCGCAUCCCAUGUGAACACAUGUAUGCGGUUCUUCAGGGGUUCCAUGGAAUGAAAACAGAGUGUCUUGCCACUCUUCUCCCUUGGGACCGAUUUCAGCAAACUAACAAAGAGGCCAAAAUAUCAUUUUGAUGUUAGAACAUGAUUGAUAAUGACUUUCACAUUUGCAUGCGGGUGCAUUAAAACUUUAUCUUGAAUUAAACAACAGACUGAAGCUAAUCAAGCAUUUCGAAUACCAAUUAUCACUUUUAGCCUUUUGGAUCUUUCAUUAGAUCAUACUGUUCAAUAACUAAUGUGAGGGUUGUGAUUCCAUCUGAUUUGAUACUGUUCGAAUUGAUUUCAUCAGUGAACUAAGAAAUACUUUUAUGAAAAAAAAGAGAGUCUCAAGACCUUAAAAUUAUUCUAUUUUCAAAAUCAGAUUUCUUCAAACCUAGGGUUAUUCAUAGCAUUUACUGGAAUGGAGAAACCAAACAAAAUAGAUCAACCCAUUUUCGUGCAUGAUCAUCUUAAUUAGAAAGGGAAAAAGGGGUCUUAAUAAUAAUAAUAAUAAGAACAGAGAGGUACCUUUUCUAACAUAUAAGAUGGCUGGUGCACCGUAUCAGGCAAGAUUGCAGUAAGAAAAACAGCAAGAGAAACCUUCUCUGGGAAUUUCUCCAUAGCAAAAGCCAGAUUCAAGCCACCUAAACUGUGCCCCACCAAUACAACCUUUUCAUUUUCAGGUAAUUUGGCCAUGAACUCCAUCAAGGGCUCAUUAUACUGAUCAAAAGUGCGAACUUCUUCAAUUUUUUGUGUGUUCACCCCUGAUGCAGCCAUGUCAAGAGCUGUGACACGGUGGCCAGCUUCCUCUAGCCUUGGCUUGACCUUGUACCAUAUCCAAGCUCCUGCAACUGAACCAUGGAUCAAAACAAAAUGCUGUUUUUGAUUGUUGACCUCUCCCAUUCUUUUGAUGUCGUGGUUUGAUACUGAUAUUUGCUAUUGCUCGGUGGAGUAUAAUGGGAGAGAAGACGAUGCUGAAAAGUUGGAAAUGUCCGGUCCAAGUGGCCUACUUUUCAUCAAGAACCUUCUAGGGUACGAAAAAGCUGUCGUAAAGUUCCGUUGUUCGCUCCGUCGUCGACCCCAUGAUGUAUUCGUUGACUAGUCAUUUAUUCUGGUUUUCUUUGGAGGAAUACUAGCCAUAUUAAAACAUACUCUAAAUGUCUAAAUGAUGCGGAGGAAUUAUUAUUUAUUCACACACAUUUCACUGUAAAUUACAAUAAUAAUUUAUAGUGAUAUUUUUUUUUUAACUUUUUCAUUUUUUUUUGUUUUUUUUUUCAAAAUUACUUUUUUUUCAACUUUCCUAAUUUUUCUUUUUUUUUUUCAAUUAUUUUUUCUUUUGUUUUUUCCAAAAUUAUUUUUGUUGAUUUUACAUUUAAAUAUUGACCUGGUUAAAAUUUUUGCUUUGUAAUUUUUUUUUAAAAUACUGUGGAUUGCUGCGAUAUUUUUCCACAUAGUUUUUCUAUUUUAUUUCUUUAUUUUUCAAAAUUAUAUUUUUCAAUUUUUUUUUUAAUAUGGAGCUGAUUGAGAAUUUAGUUUUGUAAUUUUUUUUUAAAACAUUGUUUAUUGCUACAAUGUUUGUCCGCAUGGUUUUUUUUUAUGAUUUUCUCCGAAAUUAUCUUUUUUUAUUUUAUUUUUUAAUAUUGAGCUGGUUAAAAAUUAUAGUUACAAUAUGUGAGGAAAGUACUUUAACUUUCCUCGAAAAUUACUGUUGGUUGCUACAGUGUUUUUUCCGACAUGGUUUUUUUUUUGUUUUCGUUAUGUUUUUCCCUAAAAUUAUAUUUGUCAAUUUUAUUUUUUAAAUAUUAAGCUGGUUAAGAAUUGUAAUUACAAGUAAAUACAAGUUUUUCCUAAAAAAACACUAUGGAUUGAUACAGUUUUUCCUCACAUGGUUUUUUUUCCAGUUUCUUUUGUGUUUUCUUUUUUUGUAAUAUUUUUUUCCAAAAUUAUUUUUGUCGAUUUUAUUUUUUAAAUAUUGAGUUGGUUAAAAUUUAACUUUGUAAUAAAGCUUAAUCAUGUGGGGAAAGUAUUGUAGCUUUGCUCAUAAAACAUUGUGGAUUGCUACAUUGUCUCUCCGCAUAGUUUUUUUUUUGUAAUUUUUUUCAAAUUAUCUUUUUUAAUUUUAUUUUUUUAAUAUUGAGUUGUUUGUGAAUUACAAUUACAAGUCAUUACAAAUAAGACUAAAUCAUGUGGGGAAGCACUGUAGCUUUCAUCACAAAACACUAUGAAUUGCUACAGUGUUUCCAACAUGAUUUUUUCACCUUUUUUUGGUGUUUGUUUUGUUAUUUUUUUUUCUAAAAUUAUCUCUGUUGAUUUUUUUUUAAUAUUGAGCCGAUUAAGAAUUUAGCUUUGUUAUUUUUUUCUUUAAAACACUGUGAAUUGUUGAAGUGUUUUCCCAUGUGAUUUUUUUAUGAUUUUUUCCAAAAUUAUCUUUGUCGAUUUUGUUUUUAAUAUUGAGUUGGUUAAGAAUUAUAAUUAUAAUAAAGCUAAAUCAUAUGAGGAAAGCGUUGUAGUUUUUCUCACAAAACACUGUGGAUUGCUACAAUAUUUCUCUAAAUAGUUUUUUAGUUUAUUUUAUUGGGAAAAGCGCUAUAGUUUUCCUCACAAAACAUUGUCAAUUGCUGCAACAUUUUUUCUCAUGGGUUUUUUUUCCUUCCAAAAUUAUCUUUGUUGGUUUUUUUUUUUAAUAUUAAGUUGGUAGAGAGUUUAGCUUUGUUUUUUUUUUUUUUGCUUUUUAUUAACUGAAAAGCUAAAUCAUGUGGCGAAAGCACUGUAUCUUUCCUCACAAAACACUGUAGAUUGCUACAAAUUAUUUUGUUCAGUCUCUAAGUUUUUGAUCACCAACACAACUUUUUUUUUUCUGUCAUGAAAUAUUUGCUCCAUCAUACCUUUAAUUUCUAUUACUUAUCUAGCACUGGUUCACAAUUAUAACACUAUCAAGUGCAUUUAUUUUAUAAGCCCGCGGCAACACGCGGGCAAGUCAUGUGGUCCUUAGUUAAUAAAAGUAAAUUAUGGGUCCUUGAGGGUUGUUGUCUGCUUUGAUGCAGCAUGUCCUCAUUCGGUUUUUAACAAUGAUAGUUUUUUUUUUUUUUUUUUGGUUAGGCUUGUCUGCUUGGUUGUUAGUUUAUCUUUCUGGAUGUUUAUGCCUAGUUAGAAAGUCUGUUUUUUUUAUCCUAGUUAGAAAGUCUGUUUUUUUUUAUAUAUUUUUAUAUAUUGAACUCGGUGUUCUCUGAUCUUAUAUAUUUUUUAUCUUUAAUAUAUUCUUAGAUAAAAAAAUGAUAAAUUAUGGGUAGAUUCUGUCCAUUUAAUAUAAUUCUAUAUAAAUUUAUAAUUACAAAACAAAUAUAUAUAUAUAUAUAUAUAUAUAUAUAUAUAUAUAUAUAUGGUGUGGUUGAAUCACUGUUUCUCCACACACAAUGCAGUGUGGUAGUAAUCCACAGUGCAUUCCUUCUCUUUUUUUUUUGCAUUUUUUUUGCAUUUUUUUUCCUUUUUUCUUUUUUUUUCAAAAUCACUUUUUUUUUCAACUUUCCUAUUUUUUUUUUUGCAUUUAUUUUUUUUCUAAAAUUAUUUUUGUUGAUUUAUCUGAUUAAAAAUUUCGCUUUGUAAUUUUUUUUAAAAUACUGUGGAUUGCUGCGGUGUUUUUCCACAUAGUUUUUCUAUUUUUCUAUUUUAUUUUUUUAUUUUUCAAAAUUAUAUCUUGUCAAUUUUUUUUAAUAUUGAGCUAAUUGAGAAUUUAGUUUUGUAAUUUUUUUUUUAAAACAUUGUGGAUUGCUACAGUGUCUCUCCGCAUAGUUUUUUUUUUUUUGUAAUUUUUUUCAAAUUAUCUUUUUCAAAUUUAUUUUUUUAAUAUUGAGUUUUUUGUGAAUUACAAUUACAAGUCGUUACAAAUAAGGCUAAAUCAUGUGGGGAAGCACUGUAGCUUUCAUCACAAAACACUGUGAAUUGCUACAGUGUUUCCAACAUGAUUUUUUCACCUUUUUUUGGUGUUUGUUUUGUUAUUUUUUUUUCUAAAAUUAUCUAUGUUGAUUUUUUUUUAAUAUUGAGCCGAUUAAGAAUUUAGCUUUGUUAUUUUUUUUCUUUAAAACACUGUGAAUUGUUGCAAUGUUUUUCCUUGUGAUUUUUUUAUGAUUUUUUCCAAAAUUAUCUUUGUCGAUUUUUUUUUUAAUAUUGAGUUGGUUAAGAAUUAUAAUUAUAAUAAAGCUAAAUCAUAUGAGGAAAGCGUUGUAGUUUUUCUCACAAAACACUGUGGAUUGCUACAAUAUUUCUCUAAAUAGUUUUUUAGUUUAUUUUAUUGGGAAAAGCGCUAUAGUUUUCCUCACAAAAUAUUGUCAAUUGCUGCAACAUUUUUUCUCAUGGGUUUUUUUUUCCUUCCAAAAUUAUCUUUGUUGGUUUUUUUUAAUAUUAAGUUGGUAGAGAGUUUAGCUUUGUUUUUUUUUUUUGCUUUUUAUUAACUGAAAAGCUAAAUCAUGUGGCGAAAGCACUGUAUCUUUCCUCACAAAACACUGUAGAUUGCUACAAAUUAUUUUGUUCAGUCUCUAAGUUUUUGAUCACCAACACAACUUUUUUUUUCUGUCAUGAAAUAUUUGCUCCAUCAUACCUUUAAUUUCUAUUACUUAUCUAGCGCUGGUUCACAAUUAUAACACUAUCAAGUGCAUUUAUUUUAUAAGCCCGCGACAGCGCGCGGGCAAGUCAUGUCGUCCUUAGUUAAUAAAGGUAAAUUAAGGGUCCUUGAGGCUUGAUGUCUGCUUUGAUGCAGCAUGUCCUCAUUCGGUUUUUAGCAAUGAUAGUUUUUUUUUUUUUUUUGGUUAGGCUUGUCUGCUUGGUUGUUAGUUUAUCUUUCUGGAUGUUUAUGCCUAGUUAGAAAGUCUGUUUUUUUUUAUAUAUUUUUAUAUAUUGAACUCGGUGUUCUCUGAUCUUAUAUAUUUUUUAUCUUUAAUAUAUUCUUAGAUAAAAAAAUGAUAAAUUAUGGGUAGAUUCUGUCCAUUUAAUAUAAUUCUAUAUAAAUUUAUAAUUACAAAACAAAUAGGUAAAAUAAUAUAUAUAUAUAUAUGGUGUGGUUGAAUCACUGUUUCUCCACACACAAUGCAGUGUGGUAGUAAUCCACAGUGCAUUCCUUCUCUCUUUUUUUUUUGCCUUUUUUUUCCAACUUUUUCCUUUUUUCUUUUUUUUUUCAAAAUCACUUUUUUUUUUCAACUUUCCUAUUUUUUUUUUUGCAUUUAUUUUUUUUCUAAAAUUAUUUUUGUUGAUUUUACUUUUUAAAUAUUGAUAUGAUUAAAAAUUUCGCUUUGUAAUUUUUUUUAAAAUACUGUGGAUUGCUGCGGUGUUUUUCCACAUAUUUUUUCUAUUUUAUUUUUUUAUUUUUCAAAAUUAUAUCUUGUCAAUUUUUUUUUAAUAUUGAGCUAAUUGAGAAUUUAGUUUUGUAAUUUUUUUUCUUUAAAACAUUGUUGAUUACUACAGUGUUUCUCCGCAUAGUUUUUUUUUUAUGAUUUUCUCCGAAAUUAUCUUUUUUUUUAUUUUAUUUUUUAAUAUUGAGCUGAUUAAAAAUUACAGUUACAAUAUGUGAGGAAAACACUGUAACUUUCCUAAAACAUUACUGUGGAUUGCUACAGUGUUUUUUCCCAUAUGGUUUUUUUUUGUUUUUGUUAUGUUUUUCCCUAAAAUUAUCUUUGUCAAUUUUAUUUUUUAAAUAUUAAGCUGGUUAAGAAUUGCAAUUAUAAGUAAAUACAAGUUUUUCCUCACAAAACACUAUGGAUUGAUACAGUUUUUCCUCACAUGGUUUUUUUCCAGUUUCUUUUUUUGUAAUAUUUUUUUCCAAAAUUAUCUUCGUUGAUUUUUUUUAAUAUUGAGUUGUUAGAAUUUAACUUUGUAAUAAAGCUUAAUCAUGUGGGGAAAACACUGUAGCUUUCCUCACAAAACAUUGUGGAUUGCUACAGUGUCUCUCCGCAUGAUUUUUUUUUCUUAUAAUUUUUUCCAAAUUAUCUUUGUCAAUUUUUUUUUAAUAUUGAGUUGUUCGAGAAUUACAAUUAGAAGUCAUUACAAAUAAGGAUAAAUCAUGUGGGGAAGCACUGUAGCUUUCAUCACAAAACAUUGUGAAUUGCUACAGUGUUUCCAACAUGAUUUGUUUUUCUCUUUUUUUGGUGUUUUUUUUGUUAUUUUUUUUUCUAAAAUUGUCUUUGUCGAUUUUUUUUAAUAUUGAGCUGAUUAAGAAUUUAGUUUUAUAAUUUUUUUUCUUUAAAACACUGUGAAUUGUUCUAGUGUUUUCCUAUAUGAUUUUUUUAUGAUUUUUUCCAAAAUUAUCUUUGUUGAUUUUUUUUUAAUAUUGAGUUGAUUAAGAAUUAUAAUUACAAUAAAGGUAAAUCAUAUGAGGAAAGCAUUGUAGUUUUUCUCACAAAACACUGUGGAUUGCUACAAUAUUUCUCUAAAAGGUUAUUUUAUUUUAUUUUAUUGGGGAAAACACUAUAGUUUUCCUCACAAAACAUUGUCAAUUUCUACAAUGUUUUUCCUCAUGGGUUUGUUUUUCUUCCAAAAUUAUCUUUGUUGGCUUUUUUUUUAAUAUUAAGUUGGUAGAGAAUUUAGUUUUGUAAUUUUUUUUGCUUUUUAUUAACAGAAAAGCUAAAUCAUGUGACGAAAGGACUGUAUCUUUCCUCACAAAACACUGUAGAUUGCUACAAAUCAUUUUGUUCAGUCUCUAAGUUUUUGAUCACCAACACAACUUUUUUUUCCUUCAUGAAAUAUUUGCUCCAUCAUACCUUUAGUUUCUAAUACUUAUCUAGUGUUGGGCGCGCGGGCAUGUCAUCUCGUGUAUAUAUAUAUAUAACGUAAAUGCCAAGAAUGCUUAAGGCCUAGGAAAAAAAACUAUAGCACAAUCAGCAGACAACAGCUGCUUCGAGGUUCCUCCCAAUCUUGAUCAGAUAAAUCUGUUCAAUAAUUUAUCGUUAAUUAAUUAUACCUUGAAAUGGGAGGGUGACAAAUUAAAAAUGAAAAUGAAAAGUAGCCUCUUUUUUUUUUUUUGGGUUAUGGAUGAAGUAGUAAAGAAUAUCCAAGUACCUUACUGAUAAAAUUUAUAUUUUAGAUAAUCCGUUAAUCUUUUAAUUAUAAUAAUUUGAUCUAUUUUCUAUAGUCAAGAUAUCUAGUGACUCUAUAUAAAAAACUUAGGUCGCUAGUAGCAGCUAGCUGGUGCCUGGUAAGUCAGGAUAAUUUAUAGUUGAUACUUGUAAAAGGUUAUCUUUGAUAAAUAUAAGGACUUUUAGUUGCUUGCUUAAGUGAAUAACUUAUUAAGAGAGAAAAUACAAAUAUAUUUUAGAGAGAUAGACUCUGAAAAUAUAUGUGCUAAAAAUAUCGAGAAUGAAGAGAUUGUCCACCUUGAACUUGGAAGAUUCAUGAGAUAUUUAUAGACCAUGAGUCUUGUUGUUUUGUAGAGAGGAGAGUCGGAGUGUAAUUUUGCUCUAAUAAUAUUAAUGAAUGAUAAAUAUCAUUUACACAUGCAUUAAUGAUGGAUAAAUAUCUUUUACACAAACAUUAAUGCGAUGAAGAUAUUGUAGGCCAUAAGAGAUUUUUAUACACCCAGGUGUGUAAAGAGAGUAGGAUCCAAAAUAUAUUAGUUUAGUUAAAAAUAUAUAAAAAAGUAUUGGGCCCACGCAAGUUGCUUGAGCCCACUUGGAGAAGAAAAUGGAUCUAAAGGCAUUGUCUGGGUCCAUGGUCGUUAGGCUUGGGUGACGGGGUGGUGCCAACACUGGGGUCAGGCACAUGCUUGAGCCCAUAGGGAUGCUUGGCUGGUACUUAGCUCCAGGGACACUAAGGUGCAUGCCCAUCACCUCAGCUAGGCAUGAUAGCACUCCAAGAAAGGCUAGGCAUGUCACACCCAGCUAAGGAAAACCCAUGAAGGGUGAGCCUGUAUAUUUUAAGAGGAUGUGAGAACUUAAAGAGGGUGAACAUAUACUUAAAAAAUUUCUAAAAAGCUGAGGGUAGCAUCUGGAAGAGAAGCUCAUACUUAGAAAAUAUAUUUAAAAGGUCGAGGGAACCCAAUAAAAAUAAACCCAUACUUAGAAAAAUUUAUAAGUGUUUGAGAGGAUCUAAGAAUGGUGAGCAUAUACUUAGAAUUUUUUUUAAGAGGCUAUAUGAACCUAAAGAGAGUGAGCCUACACUUAGAAAAUUUAUAAGAGUUUGAUGGUAACCCCUGAAGGAGAAGCUUGUAAAACAUUCUUAGGAAACCUAAAAAGGAGAAACUCAUACUUAUAAAAUUUUAUAAAUGGUUAGGGGUAACCCCUAGAGGGUCGUUCAAUGCGGUAACAUGAGGCUUGAAAGCCCCAUAUCAAUCUAAAAUUGUAUUGAAGAGAGCGAGGCUUGAGGUCUCAUAUUCAAUGAUACGGGGUUUAAAAGCCUAUAUUGAAGAAAGAUCACACUAUAGUGGGAGGUUUGUGACCUUCCUAGUAACGGUGUGAGGCUUAGGAGCUCACCAUUGGAGAAGGAUAUCGCUGAAGAGUGGGAGGCCUAUGGCCUUCCUAGUGGUGGUGUUGGGGGGUGGGGGGCUAGAAUCACCUUACUAGAGAGAGAUUGUACCUAAGAGUGGUAGAUCUGAGAUCAUACCUAGAGAUAGUAUAAGGUCCAGGAGCCUCAUUGACGAGUUUUAUCAGUCUGAGAUUGCACUAAAGAGCGAGAUAUAUUAUAUUAUACCUGGAGAUAACAUAAGGCCCUAGAGCUCAUUUAGAGAGUUAUGUUAGUUCAAAGUUAUAAUGGAGAAAGAGAAAUAGCUGAAGAAGAGGAGAAGCAGCUUUGAGCUGCUUUCAGUGGCACUGCGUUUCAAACGCAAAUUUGGUGAGUCCCAUAAACAGUAAAUAAUUUAUUAUCCAUUACCAAAUGAUUGUUUUCUGUGAUUUGCUUCAAAAGCAAAAGCAACCACAGAAACAAACAAGUUCGUAUUGGUUGACUAAUGAUUUAAUCUGGUUUUCUUCAAAGGAAUAGUAGCCACAUCCUUGGUUAAUAAAGAUAAAUAUAUAUGGAUGCCGUGGGGUGUAACUCAACUUAUUAGAUUUUAAAUUUGUUUUUUAGAGGUUAUCAGUUCGAGUUUUAUAAACCCUAAGCCACUGGAGGUUUACAUGGUCGUUAAUUUUAGGACUCGCAUGAUUAGUCUAGUGCGCGCAAAUUAGUCCGAACACCUAUAUUAAUAAAAAAAGAUAAAUAUAUAUUAUAGAAUAUAUUUAUAUUUUUAUCUUUAUUAAUUAAGGAUGUGGCCACUAUUCCUUCGAAGAAAACCAGAAUAAAUCAUUAGUCAACCAUUCUGCUUGGAAAUACAUAAAAAUAAUUGAUUUUGUUUUAACAUCAACAUAUCAAAACAAUCCAAAAAUACUAAAAAUAAUUAAUUUAUAUUAAAAAAAUCAUUUUUUUUCAAAGUACUAUGCCACUACGAAAUCAAACAUUGAAUCAACAUGAGAAUUCCUUGAUGGACUUUCACUUACAAUAUAUGUUUAGUAAUGGGCCUAAGAAUCAUCCAAUGUCCUUUUUGUUUGGGUUGACUGCAUGUCAACCCAGUUGUACUAGUUCUCCCCUAUAAUAUCUUUCUACAUGAUUCAAGUAUAUUUUACUUCACCGCGAUCUACCUAAAAAUAGAUUGUAUUUGGUUGAAUUUUCUUUGUUAUUACUGAUUUGUUAAUCUUGACCAGGAUCUUACGCUGUCAAUGUUAUUACUGCCACCUUUCCAUUUGUUUAGCAUUGAGACAACUUAAAAAGAAGUCGAGUUUACAAAGGAUAAAUAUGGACCUGUCCCACGAGUUUAUAUAGUGUGUGACCAAGAUAACAUAACAGAGGAAGGUUUAUAGAGAUAAUUGAUUGAAAACAAUCCACCUGAUAAAGUAAAGGCUGUUCUUUGUUCUUAUCACAUGUUCAUGUUUUCUAAACCACAAGAGAUGUGCUCUUGCCUCCAAGAGAUUGUCAAUAAAUACUUCUGAUAUUUUCAAUUACCACUUUAUUGGAGGAACAUGCUAUUAUUUGCAAAUGAUUAGAGGAAUAAGGAUUAGUUUGCUAAUGCACAACAUAAGAGAGGUCGUAGCUUUUGUCAUGGAAAGUAAGUAUGGUGAACACCAAAAAAAAAAAAAAAACCUUAGCAAUUUUCACUUUGAAAGCUUCUUUCUUUAUUUCAUGAGAAAUAAUAAUAAGAAUAUAUAACAUUAGUAUAAGAGGGUUGUUAAAUAAAUUAAUCUCUUUUAAAAUAAUUUUAUAUAUGAUGAUAAAAGAUCAUACAACUUGUUGAAAUAACAUUUAAUUUCUCUAAGUUAGAUAAAUUGGAUCGUCUACAAGUAAGGUUUAGGUUUAUUUUUUGAUAUAUGCAACCUAUAAAAUUUGGUGCUGUGUUGAAGCCUAGAAGGAUGUCCAUUUUUCUUAAUUCUUUAAAUUUAGAUACAAGCAUGAUUUGAUUCCAAGUUAGUAACCAAUCUUUACCAUGUUUUACUCAACAAGAUAUUUAUUUACCAUAUGGAUAACUACUUUGCAUUGAGAAAACAACACUUUCUACUUUUUUUAUAACUUUGACAAGACUUUUUUAUGCCCAACAAUGGGACCUAGAUCAUCGCAUAUUUUUUUAGAGAAGAUAAUAAACGGUGCAUGAUGUUUGUGUCCUAAAUUAGACUCUUGCAUUGCAUACUCCUUUUCUUUUUGGUUGAAGAGGGGAAGUCAAGAACUCUUCAGGAGAGGAGAUGCUCCUGCCACAUGCAUACAUUCUCAACUAAAAAAAAAAAAAAAAAAGAUUAGGAUUAGGAUUAAUGGCUGGCAUUAACCUACCUUAUUUCUUAGUGUCACUAAAACCAAGAUCAAGAUUAAAAGUUAAGAUCUUCAAUUCCUUUUCUUUUUCAUGGAAAUCAAUUUUUUUUUCCACUAGAAACAUGCAAAAGACAUGAUACACUUUUUUUUUUUUUAAGAAACCUGCUACUCAUCACAAAGAUAGUAUUUGAUAUUGUGGCAGCGAUUGGUUUUUAAAGUUUUUAUUCUUUGGAAAUUACUUAGUAUUCAAAUAAAAUUUUGAAACCAAUUUGUUUAAAAUAUAGCCACAAAACAUGCCACGAAUUCAGCUUUCAUAUUAGAUGCAACAAUAAUAAACUACUUCACAUGCUUUUAUGAGAUUGCUCCUCUAACUUAAAGGAGCAAAUACCAUAAUAUUGAUAUUUUUUUUUAUCCACACAUCUAACAAAAUCUUAAUUUGAAUAUAUAACAAUCUCAAGUUGAUCAUAUUUUCUAUAAGUGGGCAUAUAAUCAUUUUUUCUUUGCAAGUAGCUCAUUACAUUAUUUAGUAUCUACCUGGCUUUCCAUCAUCAAAACUAAUGUUUGGCUUGGUACAAGUUUGAACAUACAUCAAGCUCCUAAUAAUUGAUGCACAAGAAAUUCCUUUAAUUUGUUUGUGUUUCUACUCAUUAUUUAGACAUUGCAUGAGGUUAAAUUUACCAUAUUUUUUUAAUUGAAACACCUUUACUAAACAUUUAUAUAUUAUAAAUCUUUCUAAAAUCUUAUUGUUAGAUGCUUUUUAAGACAACCUAACAAUCCUUGAGAUUUAUCUCGGAGUAUUUUUAUCCUUAUCAUAUAAGUUGCCUCUUUCAUAUCUUUCAUUUCAAAGGUAUUAGAGAGAAAUCUUGGUCUCAUAUGAUAAACCAAGAUCAUUAGUUACAAGCAAUAUAUCAUCAAUAUAAAAAAUAAAAGAAUAUAAACUUGCUCCCUUUAACCUUCAGAUACAUACACUAGUCAAAAUUGCAUUUCUUAAAUCUAAAGAAAAUAGCAGUAUCAUCAAACUUGAGAUACUAUUAUUUAGAAGCUUAUUUAAGUUUAUAUAUUGUUUUCUUAAAUUUGCACACCAUGUGCUCUUUUAUUUCUGCUGGAAAUCCCUAUAGUUAAUCCAUAUAGACUUUUUUUUUUCUAAAUUAUCAUUUAAAAAGACAAUUUUUACAUUCAUUUAGUUGCCAAUCUAAGUCAUAAUGAGCUACCAAAGUGAUGAUAAUUCUAAGUGAGUCUUUCAUAGUCAUUGGUGAAAAUAUCUCCUUUUAAUCAACAUCAUCUUUUUAAGUAAAACUUUUGGGAACAAGUUUGGUUUUGUAUUGUUCAAUGUUGUUAUUUGAAUCUAAUUUGGUCUUAAAAACCUAAUUACAUUCAAAUAUUUUACAACCUGUAAGUAUUUCAACAAGGCCCUAAACUUUAUUUUGUUCUAUAGAUUUUAAUGCAUCUUUUAUGGUAUCUACUUCUUGUUUAGCCAUUUAUUAGAAUUACUUCUAUCAAUGUCAUAGGAAAAUAAAAUUAGAUUAUUAUCAAUUCCUGAUUCAAAAUAUAAUUAAAAAUAGUAAACUUUCUUUGUCUUUGAUACCUUAUUAUUACUUUUUCUUGUGGCUCAUCUAUUAUAGGGUCAUCAACAAUGUUCUCAUUGUGAGGUGUAUAAUCAUUAAUUGUUGUUCUUGAUAUUUGUUAAACUAUUCAAUAAUUUAAGGAACAACUUUAGAAUAUAUAGAGAGUAAGGGAACUUAUACCCUACUUUCUUGAAUUUUUAUAUUGCAUGAUAUUUUACUCUCAUUAACUUCAUCAAUUUCAAUGAACCUAGUAUUUUCUGUUUAAACAAUUCUUGUGUUAUGAUUAGGAAAAUAAAAUCUAUACCUUGUAUAUUUUUUUUUGGAUAACCAAAGAAGAGUACACUAGCUGUUCUAAUUGAAUCCAAUUUCUUUUCAUGUAAAUUAUAAAUUCUUACUUCUGCAGGGCAACCUUAAACAUAUAAGUGUCUUAAACUAGGUUUUUCAUCUGUCCACAAUUCAUUAGGUGUUUUGGAAUUGCUUUACUAGGAAGAAUAUUUAAUAAAUUCCUAACAUUUUUCAAUAUAUAUAUCAACAAUGAUGUUGGUACAAAUGAAUGACUUAACAUACUCCUAACCAUAUCUAAUAAAGUACGAUUAUACUUUUCUGCGACAAUUUUAUUAUGGUGUACCUAGCAUUGUGUAUUAAGAACAUAUACCACAAUUCAUAAAGAAUUUGGAGAAUAAACCUCAUCAUUAUGCAGUCUCAUUAUAUCUUUCAUAAUAUUCACAAUCUCUAUUUGAUUUGACAACUUUUAUAUUUAUAGUUAUUUGUUUUUCAAACUCAUUAACAAAUACCUAAAAGGCAUCUAUUGCUUGAGAGUUGUCAUGUAACAAAUAAACAUAUCCAUAAUGUAAGCAGUCAUCAAUAUAGGUGAUACAAAUUUUUUAUUGAAAAAAGUAACAUAAAAAACAUAUAUAUAUAUAUAUAUAUAUAUAUAUAUAUAUAUAUAUAUAUAUAUAUAUAUAUAUAUAUAUGAUUUGAAGAAAUUGCAACAUGAAUAAAUCCAUAAACUAUUAUAAGAAACCUUAAAUAAAUUUGUUUCCAAACACACAAAAGCACUAGCACCAGGCUUAAAUUCUUUCGAACCAUGCCUUACAUUUCACGCAAUCUUCGUGAAAAUAUCUAGGUUUUUUUUUUUUUAUAGAAAAUACUCUUAUCAUUUUUAUGUUCUUUAAUAUGAACUUAAACAAAAGAUUCAUUUAUCUUCAGUGGUUCAUGUUUAUCUUUUUCAUACUUCUUGAUUACUUAUAAAAUAAAUGAAAUGAGUUCCUUGAAUUUUAAAUCUCAUUUCCUUCUUAACAAAAAUAAUGUGCGGUUCAUGCAGAUUCUUUUUGUUUUUUAUAUUAUUAUAAUUCAUUUAAAAAAGAUCAUAAUCAAUAGGUAAUGAGUUGAUAAAUUGUACAAGAAAAUAGGGGUCCUUAUAAGGGUAAUUUUAACAGGGUUUGUUCCUGAGAACUUCGCUCAAGUACGAAAGUUUUUUAUUGCAGUAUCCCGAAGAGGGAUUAAACUGAAGAAAGGCUUGAUUGCAAAACAUAUUGUUGUUCUGCUAAUUGAGCUAGGAUUCAAUAACAUAGAUCGAGGAUCAACAUAAGUGUCUCUCUGCUAAUUGAUAUGCAAUCAACAUGUACAUGGUUGUCGAGGUCAGGUCAACAUGGUAUUGCGACUCCCAUGGAAGAGAGUAGACAUUCUUUCUAUUUCUCUAUGUAAGAGACUUUCAAGACAGUUAAGUGGUAUCUUCUUUUCCAAACUAAAAAGUACUCUUAAGAUAGGGGAUUUAGGCUUUUAGCCAUUUUUUCUGGCUGCAAUACUGGUAGUUAUAAAUCUGCUGUAAUUUGCCAGGUCCUGCCAGUGGACUAAAUAGCUGGUUUCCAAACUUUAUAUGCCGUAACUAGUUAGAUUUUGUCCAAGGCAUGAAGAUUGCUGAUACUGUUGUAUAUGCUAUGGAUCUGGUUAGAAAUUCUUAGAGAAUAGGAUCGGUUCGAUAUGCUGUUUGUUAUCAACUUAAGUUGCUAGUUCUUUCAGAACAGAUGAGUUUAAGCAGCAUGAUCUAAUGUCAAGUAACCUGUUGGUUAUGGUUAUAGACUUACAGGGUAAGGACAUAAUGCUGCUUGGAGAUUUACUUGAGGAGAGCUUUCUAACAUUUUCGGGUUUUUGUUGCUGGUUUGUAUUUUAUUACCUAGUUAAAUUUUAUUAAUAUAUAUAUAUAUAAUCUUACGUACUUCUCAAAAACAUGCAGCCUUCUCAAAGAUCAAUCUCCUACAUGGAUACGAAAUAUGUGUUUGGUAAUGGCCCUGACAACUCUCCAACUGCCUUAGUUCUUGGUCCCAACUACAUCGCCUCCAGGUUCUACCACCAUUCCCCACCAGAGUUAAGAUACCUCCUCCUUCACUUUUCAGGAAAAAUACAGGGCACGUCAACCUGAUCAGGAUUAUUUUCAUUCCCAAUCAUUACUUAUCAAGUAGCUAGGUCAAGUUAAAAUCUUUUGAAUUCUCUGUGAACAAACAUAACAAACUCAAUCCAUCUCCAUUUAUUUCUCCUAUUUCCUUUUUCUUUUUCUUUAAUAGCAAAAAAUAAAAACAACCCGAUUCCUUCUACAAUCUUAACACAAAUCCGAAGCAAAUGCAGCCAAGAUGGGCUGUACAACUAUCACAUACAUAAUAAGCACACCAGCUAAGGAUACGCGGCGUAUAUGCAAUCUAAGCAUGCUUGCGUGCCAACUCCAGUAUAGAAUGGCAGAGUUCUGUAGGCGUAGAAAAAACUGGCAUAUGAUCUGCAGGAAUCUCCAUCACUUCCUUUACCCCAUUUUGCUCAAUCAUCCAGCGCUGAAAUGAGGCAAGCAUCAUUAAAUCCUCAGUACAAACAAUAUAAACUCGCGGCACUGAUCCAUAUCUCUC